GACGAACGCUGGCGGCGUGCUUAACACAUGCAAGUCGAACGAAGUGGCGAAGGGGAGAGUAACGUGUAAACAACCUGCCCUUCAGAGGGGGACAACAGUUGGAAACGACUGCUAAUACAGCAUACUGAAGGAGGGGAUUGCGUCUGAUUGGCUAGUUGGUGGGGUAACGGCCCACCAAGGCGAUGAUCAGUAGCCGGUCUGAGAGGAUGAACGGCCACAUUGGGACUGAGACACGGGCCAGGCUCCUACGGGAGGCAGCAGUGGGGAAACUUCCGCAAUGGACGAAAGUCUGACUGAGCAACGCCGCGUGAGUUAUGACGGCCUUCGGGUUGUAAAGCUCUGUUAAUCGGGACGCGGUACCGGAAUAGAAAGCCACGGCUAACUACGUGCCAGCAGCCGCGGUAAUUC
rnacentral:rRNA from 1 species